rfam:Nicotiana attenuata strain TT chromosome 12, whole genome shotgun sequence.
AUUUUAUUAUGCUGACAUUUUUUGACUAUCUCCUUGAACCUCUCCCAUACUUCAAAAACUGUUUAUGUGUCCUUUUGGAAGAAGUUAUGAAUUUCUCUUCUAAAUUU